rnacentral:rRNA from 1 species
GCAUAACGCGAAGAACCUUACCUACGCUUGUAUCCUGAUCGCGACUUUCAGAGAUGAGAGUCUUCAGUUCGGCUGGAUCAGAGACAGGUGCUGCAUGGCUGUCGUCAGCUCGUGUCGUGAGAUGUUGGGUUAACGUCCCGCAACGAGCGCAACCCCUAUUGUAUGUUGCCAUCAGGUAAUGCUGGGCACUCAUACGAGACUGCCGGUGAUAAGCCGGAGGAAGGCGGGGACGACGUCAAGUCAUCAGUGGCCCUUACGCGUAGGGCUAGAAACGUGCUACAAUGGCAAAUGACAGUGGGCAGCAACACGGCAACGUGAAGCUAAUCUACCAAAAGUUGUCCCAGUUCAGAUUGUCCUCUG